ACUCAAAUGAAUAGACGGGGACCCGCACAAGCGGUGGAGCGUGUUCUUUAAUUCGAAGGUAAGCGAAGAACCUUACCAGGGUUUGACAUCCUGCGAAUCUCUCUGAAAGGAGAGAGUGCUUUAUUGAGCGCAGUGACAGGUGUUGCAUGGCCGUCGUCAGCUCGUGUCGUGAGAUGUUUGGUUAAGUCCAUCAACGAGCGCAACCCUUGUAUUUAGUUGAAUUUUUCUAAAUAGACUGCCCCGGUAACGGGGAGGAAGGAGGGGAUGAUGUCAGGUCAGUAUUACCCUUACACCCUGGGCUAGAAACACGCUACAAUGGCCGAUACAAAGGGCUGCCAAGUCGCGAGACGGAGCAAAUCCCAUCAAAGUCGGUCCCAGUUCGGAUAGCAGGCUGAAACUCGCCUGCUUGAAGUCGGAAUCGCUAGUAACGGUAGGUCAGCACACUACCGUGAAUACGUUCCCGGGUCUUGUACACACCGCCCGU
rnacentral:rRNA from 1 species